rnacentral:rRNA from 1 species
GACGAACGCUGGCGGCGUGCUUAACACAUGCAAGUCGAACGGAAAGGCCUUUUCGGAGGUACUCGAGUGGCGAACGGGUGAGUAACACGUGGGUGAUCUGCCCUGCACUCUGGGAUAAGCCUUGGAAACUGGGUCUAAUACCGGAUAGGACCGCACUUUAGUGUGUGUGGUGGGAAGUUUUUUCGGUGUAGGAUGAGCCCGCGGCCUAUCAGCUUGUUGGUGGGGUAAUGGCCUACCAAGGCGGCGACGGGUAGCCGGACUGAGAGGUUGGUCGGCCACAUUGGGACUGAGAUACGGCCCAGACUACAACGGGAGGCAGCAGGGGGGAAUAUUGCACAAUGGGCGCAAGCCUGAUGCAGCGACGCCGCGUGGGGGAUGACGGACUUCGGGUUGUAAACUCCUUUCGCCAGGGACGAAGCGUUUUGUGACGGUACCUGGAGAAGAAGCACCGGCUAACUACGUG